GAUGAACGCUGGCGGCGUGCCUAAUACAUGCAAGUCGAGCGAACGGACGAGAAGCUUGCUUUUCUGAUGUUAGCGGCGGACGGGUGAGUAACACGUGGAUAACCUACCUAUAAGACUGGGAUAACUUCGGGAAACCGGAGCUAAUACCGGAUAAUAUUUUGAACCGCAUGGUUCAAAAGUGAAAGACGGUCUUGCUGUCACUUAUAGACGGAUCCGCGCUGCAUUAGCUAGUUGGUAAGGUAACGGCUUACCAAGGCAACGAUGCAUAGCCGACCUGAGAGGGUGAUCGGCCACACUGGAACUGAGACACGGUCCAGACUCCUACGGGAGGCAGCAGUAGGGAAUCUUCCGCAAUGGGCGAAAGCCUGACGGAGCAACGCCGCGUGAGUGAUGAAGGUCUUCGGAUCGUAAAACUCUGUUAUUAGGGAAGAACAUAUGUGUAAGUAACUGUGCACAUCUUGACGGUACCUAAUCAGAAAGCCACGGCUAACUACGUG
rnacentral:rRNA from 1 species